AACUCUUAGCAGUGGAUGGCUUGGCUUGUGUGUCGAUGAAGAAUGCAGCCAGCUGCAAGAAUUAAUGCGACUUGCAGGACACAUUGAUCACUGACACUUUGAACGUACUUGUGGCCCCUGUUCCUCCUGGGGCUACACCUGUCUGAGCAUCA
rnacentral:rRNA from 1 species